rnacentral:rRNA from 1 species
UAGGGAAUAUUGGACAAUGGGCGAAAGCCUGAUCCAGCAACGCCGCGUGUGCGAUGACGGCCUUCGGGUUGUAAAGCACUUUUAGAGGAGAUGAGAAAGGACAGUAUCCUCUGAAUAAGCCUCGGCGAACUACGUGCCAGCAGCCGCGGUAAAACGUAGGAGGCUAGCGUUAUCCGGAUUUAUUGGGCGUAAAGCGCGUGCAGGCGGUUUAUCAAGUUGGAUGUGAAAGCUCCUGGCUUAACUGGGAGAGGUCGUUCAAAACUGAUAGACUAGAGAAUGGUAGAGGGAGGUGGAAUUCCGGGUGUAGUGGUGAAAUGCGUAGAUAUCCGGAGGAACACCAGUGGCGAAAGCGGCCUCCUGGGCCAUUUCUGACGCUAAGACGCGAAAGCUAGGGUAGCAAACGG